rnacentral:rRNA from 2 species
CCUGGCGGCCUUAGCGCGGUGGUCCCACCUGACCCCAUGCCGAACUCAGAAGUGAAACGCCGUAGCGCCGAUGGUAGUGUAGGGUCUCCCCAUGCGAGAGUAGGGAACUGCCAGGC